GAUGAAGAACGCAGCGAAAUGCGAUACUUGGUGUGAAUUGCAGAAUCCCGUGUACCAUCGAGUCUUUGAACGCAAGUUGCGCCCGAAGCCACUAGGCCGAGGGCACGCCUGCCUGGGCGUCACACGUCGUUGCCCCCCCAUCUACUCCUUCGGGAUUGCGGGGGGGCGGAUGAUGGCCUCCCGUGCGCCUAGCCGCGCGGUUGGCAUAAAUACCAAGUCCUCGGCGACGCACGCCACGACAAUCGGUGGUUGCGAAACCUCGGUUGCCCGUCGUGUGCGUUCGUCGCGCAUCGAGGGCUCGAAAAAAUGCUCGGCUUCGGCUCGGCUUUCAACGCGACCCCAGGUCAGGCGGGGUUACCCGCUGAAUUUAAGCAUAUCAAUAAGCGGAGGA
rnacentral:misc_RNA from 1 species